rnacentral:lncRNA from 1 species
AGUUAUCUGUCACUAUCAGCUAGCUCUAAUUGAAUUUUUUUGGAGCAGUUCCAUUUGCAAAUAGACCAGCUACAAGGGCACACACAUACGCACACGCGCACCCUAAUUGAGAUAUCAUAUUACAAUGGUAACAAAUAUGUUAGUAUUUCUUACAUGCUGGCAGCUUAAGCAAGCACCUUGCGCUAUUAACUUCAGCUAGAUGUAGUAAUCUGUCACAAGAGCGUGACCAGUUCAGACCACCAUAUAAAAGAGCGGUACCAGCAGCAGACUUCAGAGGAAAGUUGAUUUUAUCCCUAAAUAAGAUGCUCCAUUUGACAUGCUCUAAAUGGACUAAUGAAAUAAUCUAGAACACCUCUGCAACUCUGGGGAUUUUGUAAUUAACUGCAUAUUGUACAAGGUGUCAAAUAUGUGAUUUAAGUAAAAUAUAGAGCAAUGGAAGUACAAGUGAUACGCCUGAAUAAAGCAUAACCUACAAGAAUCACAAGGGCUAAAAAUUCAGAAUGCAGAAAAUCUACAUAUGCCAAGAAGGUCACUCACCAAUAACCAUGUGUACUUCCAUACUGCGUAAACAGGGGAUAAAAAUUGUUUGAUCUGCAGUUAAUCACCUAAGCAUUGGGUUAACACAGUGGUGCUACUUUUCUUUUCCGUCCAAAACAGAACCAUCAUGUCUUGAGUUUCCUGAAAAACAGUAGACAUGCAUAUGAAUCCUAGUACUAAUUAACAACUAAUAAAAGAUGUCGAUCAAGCUUCAGAAACUUAGCGGCUGCAUAUUGAGUUCCAUCAUUGUUUUCCUCGAAACCACAAUCCAUAACACCUGCAUAUAUCUCACCUGGAGUAUUAUUAAAUACCCGUCUUCUUGCCCUCGAGUAUAUAUCACCUGCAAAAUAGGACAUGUGCUACUUAGAAAGAUUCUGUUUUUUAUCUGACAAAGCACUGAAUCAAAUAAUUCCUUUGCCCAUGAGUCUAGGUUUCUAAAAAUUUACUGAGAAGGUCAAAAAAAGUGCAGCAUUUGUAGGACAUGCCAACACAGAAAAGUAAACAUGUAACAGAAGUGGGAAGGAGGGAACAAGGAUGAUGGUAUUUAUAUGGAGGUUAUGGAGCUGAAUUUCUCCCUCUGACGUCCGGUUAUGGGAUAACCAAUCUGCGGCAAGUUGAAAGAGGGGCCUCUGUUCCGCCGUUUGUUGGGAAAAUUUGCUCUUAUGUAAGAACGCAGUUAGAUUAGAAGUUGUGAACACAACUUGCCGCAGAGCUUAAUCCAUGAUUUGCCGUAGAAAAAAAUACAUAGCCUAGCAUAGGUGUUCUAGAGUACAUAACCUACCAGAAAAAAUAUCUGGAGGCAGAGGAGAAAGGAUCAGACAUUAGCGAAGAAAAGGGGCUAACCUUAGAAUCAUGUUUUUUCAGUGGAAGUUUAUCUCAUGAUUCAUACUCAUCAUCCUGUGUCCCCUCCCUGGUUCGCCACUUCUGAUUACUGCAACUUCUUCCUUCUUCUCCCUGUCUGCUAAUCUAGCAGGAAGUGGCGGCCAUGGUCUAGUAGGAAAAUGUGGCCACGAACCCGCAAAAGACGGCGGCCAGCCUGGACCGCAGCAGCUGCGACGGUGAUCUGGCCAGGAAGAAGAUUGGCAGUCAUGAUGGAAGGUCCAGUGGAGCUUUGGUCCAUGGCCAUGGCGUCCUGCACGGGGACGGAGAGAGGGAGAGAGAAAGGAGGAGGAGGGCGCUGGGCACGACUGACCGACAAAGGAGGUUGGCGACGGCUUGCAGGAGCGCAGGCGGCGACGGGAGGCGGGGUGAAUGGGGGGGAAGCGCACGGGAGGAGGGAAGGGAGGAGCGGCGACGCGAGGUUUGCUGCUGAUUCAUCCGGAAAUUAGGAAGUUGCGGGCGAGGCUGCGGGGAUCUGUAGACGCGGGGCGCGGAUGAUUAGCAAACGACGGCGUCUGCCAGGCAGAACAUUUAAUCUCAGACGUUGAUUGAGAUGGCAGAUUAUGGAUGUAAUAUGGUCAGUAGGAUGUGUUUAAGUUGAUUUGAUCGAAGGGUCCGGGUUACCCCGUGUACAGUUUGUUGUGUGGCUUUAGACAAAAUUAUGUUUGCUCUUUUAAUAGUAGUAUAGAUAUAGAUAUAGAUAUAAAUCAACAUUCAACCGAUACAACCAGCUUGCUGCGGCCGCAACACAAACAAGCCCAAAAGAAAAAAUAAAAUAAAAAAGAAAUAAAUGCCGACGCUGGCAGCUCAACUAAGCAAAGAUGGCCGACACCCGUUGCACCCUCCAGAGAAGUACCGCUCGCCAAGCACUCCGAAGUCUUGCGUACCAAGCAACAUCUUCAUGAAGAAAUGCAACAACGACAACGCUGCUGCCCGAACAAGUCCUAGGGUUUCCCCUGGUACGCGGAUGUCAGUGGGGAAGGGGUAUCACCGACGCCCCUCAGGAGGGACCGGCAACGCCCACGGACGCAGCCGCGCCGGUGGCGAACGAGCCGCCAGAGAUUUCUCCUGCCCCGAAACCACCAUCGCCACCCCAGACAAACGGAAGUGCACCGCCCAACAUGCCACCCACCAGCCCGUGCCACCACAGAUACCGCACCAUCAUCACCGUCUCAAUGAGGCCACCAACACGAGACCUGGAGGUAGGACGAGAAGACACCGGGCUCGGUGGCACCGCAACGCAGCCGGCAGGAGGGAACAACCUCCACCGCCGGGCGGAGCCGACCGGACAUAGCGAUAGGGACUUGCCAGGCCACACCGGCCCGGCCGGACCCCAACGGGUCCGGACAAUCCCUGCAGCCACGCUGCAGCACAUCGGCUGCCUCGCCUCACCACUAGGGAGCUACGUCGUCGCGCCCCGGACCGCAGGCCCACCCCAGCCCAGAUGGGACCCAAAAGGGCCCAGAUCUGGGCCGAGCGGGCGCCGCCGGCCAGCCGCCCAUCGCGCCGCCUCGUCAAGAGCACCCGAGGCCCGCAGAACUCCGUCGUCGGGCCCCACCUUCGCGAGCCGAACAGCACCGCCGCCGGGCAGGAGGGAGCCCCGACUUCCCCUCCAGGCGUGCGGGGAAUGGACGUCCGCCGCCGCCGGCGCCAUCCGGGCACACCGAAGGCCGUUGCCGGUGGCGGCGAAGGGAGAUGGAGAAGGAGGGGGUCGAGACAGGGAGGCGGGCAGGGGGUGCUCCGCUGCCUCGCGGGGCGACGGGAGCGCCGGGGGAGGGAGGGGAGGGGGAGAGGGAGGUAGGCCGGAGGGCGCGCGCGACGGCGGCCGGCGCCAGCGGGAGGGGGCGCAUGGGGGGAGCAGGGGAGGAACCCUCAGGUUAAAUUUACCCGACGACGUCUUUACCCGUCAGUGGGUUCACGUGGUAGCUAGCAUAUGGCCAGCCCUAUACAUUUUCUGGAUACCUGGAUUCAGGAGCGUAGAGUGCAACGCCAGGGAGCGCUACAAACGGGGAGAUCCGAAAUUUCUUCAGCAUUUUGCCGGCCGCCUGCUCUUUGCAGAAGGUAUAUUUUUUGUCUCCGCAAAAAACAUUUAUAUGUAUUGUAUUGAAACUUAGAUGUACUUUAUAUGUUUUCAAACUCUGCCUCUCCCUCCACACGUCGAUCCCAUGUACACAUGCUUAAAUUAAAUUUCAAAUGAAGUUUAAGUUUUAAAAUGCACACGGCUAACAAUUGAACAACAUAUUCAACAUUGAUCUUGUUUCAAAGAUCUCAUGAGCCGUGAAGACAAAGUUGACAAUCAAAACAGAUUCAAAAAUCAGGCAUUCGGUUCAAAGUAUAUAACCAUUUUUGUGUAUGGGCCAAAAAAUUAAACACAUAAAUUUAUUGAUGGAAGAAUGUGAUGUGCAAUGUGGGUCAAAUAUAAUAAACCAUAAGGUUGCUUCCAUAAAUAUGGUAUAGUCCAAUGUAUGGCAAAAUCUGGCACGUUGCAUUUUUAUCUAAUGGCCCAAAACCUAUUGGUGCACCUGGUGCACAGGAUACGUUCUAACCAUGGUGGUACUACGUAGCGUGGGGGCUCCGUUGCUGCCGCUGUUGUUGUGGUGGUGCAGGCCGCUGCUUUUUUGUUUCUGAACAGGACAUCCGUCCGUCCGUCCUCGUAGCAGAAACAAGGGCCUACCCAGCACAGAUGCUCUGGAGCGUAGCAACAAUGGUGCACCGUGCAUGCAGGGAUCAGAUCACGCUCUCGCACGCGCACGCUCGCCACUGUUGGUCUGUCCCUGCUCUCGAGAAUUAAUAGGGCCCGUGUCCGUGCCCGGGUCGUCUUACUGACGACGCUGUCGCGGCGGCAGCGGGUUCUGCAGCCGCGUGCGUGCGUGCGUCCUGAUGCCGGAUGAUUGGGCACGCACGUAAAGAAGGCCCUGUUCAUGUCUCCGGCACGGCGGCGACCGGCGAGGGCCACUGAAAUGAAGGGCAGAGGGGGGAGCGGAGAGCGGAGGCCGAAGAUCGAGGCAUCGCCAGACGCUGCUGGGGAAACGAAGGCGAGCCUAGCUAGGAGUACUGAACUGACACGGACGCGUUCAAGUGGAAGCUAUGUGAUGAUCAGGCAAAGUGUACGCUCUGGCGCACCACCACCAAUAGCACGGCAGAAGGAACUACAAGGAAGACGUGGACUGCCCCAUGAGGCAUGCCCUUUCUACGAUCAGCACGAUGAGACGAUCAAUCACCUCAUGGUGAACUGCACACUUUGAAAGAAAGUGUGGCACGGGAUUAGCGUCGCGACGGGACGGCCGGGGCUGGAGCCGAGGGCCGACGACACCUUGUGCUCUUGGUGCGUUGGGCAAGAGCAGCGUGCAGAGAACCGGCGAACUAUGCGAGCAUUGUGCCUGUUAGGCACGUGGGUCAUCUGGAAGCACUGGAAUGAUAUCGUCUUUGACGGUGCGGUGCCCUCCGCCUUUCGGGUCAUACGACGGUUCGAUAGCGAGGGGAGGAUUUGAAGGCAAGCAAAGACUCUUGAGAGGGGAUCUCGACGGAUUGUUUGCAGGAUUAGCUAGGUAUUCGAGAAAAAAGAACUGCAAGGAAAUCCUGCAAACGUUGAGAUGGGGGAAAAUCAUGCCGCAUUUUCCAUCUGGAAAUAUGAAAGCCAGCUCGCCUUCUCUUCUUUCAGCACACAAUCAUGUAAAAAAAAAUAAUCCCAACCCACAAUAGACUAGUCUGUUGGCAUUUUUUUAUAGAAGAAAAUUCCGUGAACACCAAGGGUUCGAGACAAGCCCCGAACAUUGAUGGGUUGACUGCGAAUUUCCGCGCCUUCCAACUGAGCUACGCUCCAUUCUCGCACGCAGUCAUGUAGCACCACGGCUUCCAAACGUCCCAACCAUUGUGAUCUGAAUGCCAAUCCUCAGGAAACAUGCAAGCUGAAUAAACGGAACCCACACACACACACACUGACACACACAUGAAAGCAUUUCAGAGUUUUACAGUGGGGUCCUCAAAGCUGGGCCGAAUUGGGUACAACCUUCCAAGCAGCUCUGCAACACGGAAGCCCAUUUUGUCUUGAGGGAAGCCUAUAUCAUUCUUCGCGUCCGUUCAGCAAAAGACGAUACUCUUUGUCUAAAAAAAAGCAAAAGACGCCACUCUGGAGUAUACUUUUGUUUCUUUUGUUAAACGGUCUUUUUUCAUUAUGUUUGGAUUGCUUAACACGUGUCCCACAUGAUUUUAGUGAACGAUCUACUUGAGACCCGAGCUGCACUUGAGAUGAUACAAUUCUUCUUUUUACGGAAAAACUUUUAAUCUAUUCAUCUUCAAUCAUGAUAGUACAACGAACACUAAACAUAAUAAAAAUUACAUUCAGAUCCGUAGACCAUCUAGCAACGACUACAAAUACUGAAGCGAGCCGAAAGCGCGCUGCUGUCAUCGCCCCUCCCUUAUCGGAGCCGGACAAACCUUAUUGUAGUAGACAGUCGGGAAGUCGUCGUGCUAAGGUCCCAUAGAACCAACACACCAGAACAGCAACCGCCGCGGAUGAAGAGUGUAGAUCAAAAGUAUCCAACUUGAAGACACACGAACGAAGACGAACGACGAACAGAUCCGAGCAAGUCCACCAAAGACAGAUUCGCUGGAGACACACCUCCACACGCCCAUCGAUGAUGGACUAGACUGGGAGACUUUUAUUCCAUCUUCAGGGAGCCGCCGACGCCUCGCCUUCCUGAGCAGGACACAAACCCUAACAAAGCUCGAAAAAAGGUAUGAAAACAGAGCCCUCCCACCGGCAAGGGCCGAGAUCCACUCCGUCUCCAUGGCCCUAAGGUCAUCGAAGACGGGACGGACUGGCGACGACGCUGAUGGGAAGCAAAGAGCCCUAGUUUUGGGAAGGCGGCGGCUGGCUACGUUGAAAGCUUAGCUUUGACUAGCAUUGUUUAGAACAGACACACAUGUACUCCCUCCGCCCUAUAAUGUAGCUUUCAAAAACGUCUUACAUUAUUUUUGCCUCAAUAGCCAACUACCGCUCCCUGGGAAGCGUCACAUUUGUGAACGUUUCUUAUGGCAAGUUCUUCAAACAACAUGGCAAUUUCUUCAUAUACACAUGGUGGCAAAUUUUGCAACAAGGAUGUCGAAAUUUGUGGUGUUCGCUUGAGGAAUUGCCAUGUUCUCUUCUCGCAACAUAAAAUGUCACGAGAAACGUUUGCAAAUGCCACCCUCAGCGUGGAAGCUGAAGCGGAAGUCAGCGUACACCCGCCAGCGUGUGGCGUCUAGGUGCAAAUGGUCCAGCGACCAGCAGAGAAGAGGCCGAGGACGUCGUCGUCUUUCGCGGUCAGUGGGCCGGCUCACGUGGCAGUAGCUAUCAUGGUACGUACCAUAAGGGGGGCUCCAUUGUUGUGGUGGUGCAGUCUUCUUUGCCUGACGAAGAAGACGUACGCGUCCGUCCACCUAGCCCAAGCGCACGGCCCUGGAGUGGAAUGUAGCAACAGCGGUGCAGCACAGCCAGUCACAUGAACCAACCACUGCAUGCGAGGGGCCGUUGCUCGAAUCAGAUCACGCUCUCAAGCGCGCAGGCGCGCGGUUGCAUGCAGGCUCGCCGUGUUCCUUUGGUGCUCGUGGUAGCGUGCCUGUAUGAUCCCGUGGCCGGGCCAUCUAUCUGACGCCGCUGUCUCGGCGGCAGCAGGCUAUGCAGGCCCGCGCGCGCGUGCGCGCGUCCUCAUGCUCCAUGAUUGGGCACGCACAUAAAGAGGAGGUCCAGUUCAUGUCGCCGGAUGCCGCCGGAGCUGGGGCGGAGCAUGAUUGGCUGCCGCCGGAGAGCGGAGGCCGGAGAUGGAGGCUUUGACUACACCCCGCGGGGGAAACGAAAGCGACUAGGCGAGCCUAAAGAGUACUCUGGAUACCACAAUUGAGAUUUGAGAGAGACUCGUCGAGUGGAAGCUAUGAUCAGCCAAAGUGCACGCGCUGACGCGCCGCCAGCCCUGAUAAUUUGCUGGAUUUUGGAGCGUAUAGUACAGCACCACCGAUACCACAGGAGAAGGGAAGAAAAAUGGGAAUGCUACAAAUGAGUGGUGCUAGACUCUGGAGCAGAGGAUUUGCUGGGUCAAGUGCUAUUGCAGAGUGAGGUCGUCGUGCCUGUGCGGCAGCGUUACAGUAACACACGCAGAGAAGAGGGAAGCAUUUCAGAUCAAUGUUGGGCCGAAUUGGGUACAAGCCUCCAUCGCGUGAUCAUCAAUUCCCAGUUUUUGCAUGUCCCGCAGCGGCCCACUGUCCCUAAACACGAGUACUUUGGUCAAAUCUGCAACGUGGAAGACCAUUUCCUCUUCCUUUUUGCAACAAAGGGAACACUUUUUUCUUUUCAAAAAAAAAGGGAACAGUUUUUUUUCAUAACUAGUAAGCGGUGUAAUCAGAACAGAUGUUAGUAGCCGAUACACGAGUUACCGCUGAGAUGAUGCAAUCCAGGCACGCAUGUCGUUGACUGACACGACCUGCAAUUCAAUUAACUGCACCAAAAAAUGCCGCUAAAUCAAUCUGCUGCACAAACAAAAUCAUAUUGAAACAACUGCAUCCCUGUUGACUACAUGAAAAAAUAACGGUUAAAUGAACUGCAAAAAAAAUGCAGUUGAACAAUCAAUCCUUCUUUAUUUCUAAAACAGGCUCAUAAUGCAACAUUCACGUUAAGCCAUGUCAAUCUCAAAGAGCAGUCGCAUGAUUGUAUUAACAAUCAAUAACGUCCAUUAGAUCUUGGUGGUUUGACCUAUGUCCUUCGUUGAAAAGACAAUUCUUAGGUGAAAAGAUGACUCUUCGUGAAAAAUUGCCUGUCACAUCUCUCGGUGGAAAGACAUCUCCGCCACCGGGUGCUCCUUCUUCUCAGCUAGUGCCCGCCCAUACUCCCUCCCCUCCUCCUCCCACAAGAGGAUGCGGAUGUGGCCGACGUUGUUGGCCUCGUCUUCCUCCGCCAACGACUGCUCUUCCUAUUCCUCUGUGUCGUCCUCCUCAUUCUUUCAUUCUUCAUAACAACCUCUUCCUCCGACUUCUCCAUGGCAGCUGUGAAUUGCUCCUCCUCGUCCUUGUUGUUGUUCUCGGAGCUCAGCGAGUCGACAAGCACGACGUUCCCCGCCGGCACACCCCACCUCAGCUACCACGAGAAGGCAUACUCAUGGGUGGGAAGGCUCCGAACCAUGGCGGAAUUGAGCGGCGCGACGACAAUAACGAUGAUUUGGGGUGUCAACGGCGGUGAUUUUGGCGAAAACAAGUGGCAACGGGCAGGUGGGAGGGGGGUCGUACUAUACUAUGGCGGUUGAUACCUUAUUUUGAGUGAGAAGGAGGAGACGAGAGGUUGCUCAAAUUUGCUAUGGCAGUUAAACAUUUGAGGAGCAGGGAAGGGGUAGCUAUGGUAUAACUUCCUUAAAAGGGAAUCUUGUGACGAGUUAAAGAAUUGAGGCAAUGAUUAGAGAUGCUAUAAUCUUGCGUAACCUUCCAUCUUGUCUACAAAAGGGAGGGCGCUCAUUUUCAUUUCGGGACAAAUAUGUAAGACAACCAAAGCAAUGAUUCUAUGAAGUUCCUUAUACAAUCAUACACUAGAAAAACCUUUGUUCAGAUAUUUGUUGUACCGUAUAGAUCUCUACAAAUGUAUUUAAGGAUGUUAAAUAUGCAACACACACACACACACACAAAGGGAUCGUACAUGAAUAUCUACACACACACAGGAUCUUGCAACUAUGUUCCUUUUAUUUUUCUCAUAUUUUUCAUCUCUUUUUAAUGCUAAUUAUCGAAAAAGAAAACUAAACUAAACUUCUAAUACAAACUAUAGUUUAAAUUUAGCAAAAUCACUUUAUAACAAACCUAUCUAUAAAAAAACAUCAAAUUUUAAUGUUUAGCGCUAUUGUGUACAAUAAUGAUAACUAAGAAAAAAGUAACUAAAAUUGUGUGUCAAUAAAAUAAAUGAAAAUAUAAAGUAUAAAAUUUAGUGCAAAAGUUUUUUAGAUCGGCCCAAAAAACUAAGGUUGUUUUCAAAUAAGCUGACAACUGAGGCGCCGAUAAAAUUACACACCAAAUUUGUAAAUAUUAUGCCGUGAUGUAUAGGAUAUGUGGCCAUGUGUAACACCCUCGAUGCGACUAUAUCUCCCACGUGUCGAGGCACGACUUAGAGGCAUAAUCGCAUUGAAGGCAUAUGUCACAAGUUAGGCAAUCUUCACAACAUCCCAUGUAAUAUAAAUCAUAAAGAGGAGAUAACAUAGUUGGCUUACACUCGCCACGUCAAUCAAGUACAUAAAUAACAUUACAUCAUCCAAACACUCAUGGCCCGACUCCGGCGCCAAAAUAAAAGAUAACCCAACAAGCGACACGGUCCCAAUCACCCCCAUCUGGGCACCACUACUGAUCAUCGGGAAAGGAAACAUAGUAACGUUGAGAGUCUUCGUCGAACUCCCACUUGAGCUCGUACGCGUCUCCUGGAGCGGAAUCAUCAGCCCUGCAUCUGGUGUAAUAGUAAUCUGUGAGCCACAGGGACUCGGCAAUCUCGCACCCUCGCGAUCAAGACUAUAUAAGCUUAUAGGUAAGGCAGGGUAAAUAUGUGAGUGGAGCUGCAGCAAGCGACUAGCAAGUAUGGUGGCUAGCUUAUACGCAAAAGAGAGCGAGAAGAGGAGGCAAAGCGCGAGCGAGAAACUAGAGAACAACCUGCGCAAACAUUACUCCAACACCGUGUCCACUUCCCGGACUCCGCCGAGAAGAGGCCAUCACGGUAACACACUCAGUUGAUUCAUUUUAAUUAAUUAAGGUUCAAGUUGUCUACAACCGGACAUUAACAAAUUCUCAUCUGCCCAUAACCGCGGGCCCGGCUUUCGAAAGUUCAAAUCCCUGCAGGGGAGUCCCAACUUAGCCCAUGACAAGCUCUCACGGUCAACGAAGGAAUAGACCUCCUCCCAAGAUGUUCCGAUCAGACUCGGUAUCUCGGUAAUUCAAGACACUUCGAAAGGUUAAAACAAGACCAGCAACACCGCCCGAAUGUGCCGACAAAUCCCAAUAGGAGCUGCACAUAUCUCUUUCUCAGGGCACACUCCGAUUGUCUUAGGUACGGGUAGGCCAGCCCAGAGUUGCCCCUGGUGGCCACCGGCAGCUGACAGGUGGACCAACACUCAGAGGAGCACUGGCCCGGGGGGUUAAAAUAAUGGUGACCCUUGAGUCUGCAGAACCCAAGGGAAAGAAAAUGCUAGGUGGCAAAUGGUAAAACCAAGGUUGGGCAUUGCUGGAAAAGCUUUAAUCAAGGCGAAAUAUCAAUGGGUUCCCAUUAUAACCCAACCGCGUAAGGAACGCAUAAUCCGGGAACAUAACACCGAUUUGACGGAAACUAGGGCGGCAAGAGUGGAACAAAACACUAGGCGAGAGGCCGAGCCUUCCACCCUUUACCAAGUAUAUAGAUGCAUUAAGAUAACAUAGCAAUAUAAUGAUAUCUCAACAAGUAAAUAAAUGUUCCAACAAGGAACGGCCUUCAAUCUUCACCUGCAACUAGCAACGCUAUAAGAGGGGCUGAGCAAAGCGGUAACAUAGCCAAUCAACGGUUUGCUAGGACAAGGUGGGUUAGAGGUUUGACAUGGCAAUUUGAGAGGCUUGAAAGCAAGUGGUAGGCAUCGUAGAAAUGACAUAGCAAAAGAGCGAGCAAACUAGCAUAGCAAAGAUAGUAGUGAUUUCGAGGGUAUGAUCAUCUUGCCUGCACAGUUGUCAGAGUUGACUGGAUCCUCGAAAGCAAACUCAACGGGCUCCUCAUUAGCGAACUCGUCUCCUGGCUCUACCCAAACAAGACAAGCAAGCAAUAAGGAUACAAUCAACCACAUGCAAACUCAAACAAGACGGUGCGAAGAUGAUAUGCUAUGCGGGAUGCAAAAUGCAAGAUGUGACAGGAAAUGCAUGAACCUGGCCUCAACUUGGAAAACCAAGUGUCCCACUGGAAAGAUGAGAUGAAAUCGCUUGAAAACGAUAUAAAGAAUGCCGGAAUCGGAGUUACGGUUUGGAAAUGGCAAGCGAUUCAAAAAUGACACCGGUCUGCGAUUUACAGCAAGUAGGCAUCUAAAUGCAACGAAAUGAACAUGCCAUAGUACCCAAACAUGACAACAAAAUACAUGGCAGGGAUGCACACAAAAUGCUUAACAAAAGUCUAGCACUGAUCUACAGCCAAUUCAUCCAUUAACAGGUUCAAACAAGCAUGGCAAAAAUGCAUAUGGCAAACAUAUCUCAGACUUAGUGAAAUUAACACUUGUCUGGAAUUUCAGAUCAGGUAGCCCUCUUCGGAGCAACAAAACUAUAUGCUACAGGACCUGAACAUGGAAAAGUAAAGCCUGGCAUGGAGCUACUCAAAGAUCUUAACAAAAGUCCCUUAGUGACCUUGAGCCAAAAGGGAUCAAAAAAUACAAUUGCAAGCAUGUGAACAUAGCAAAAACAUAAUCAGUUUUCAGACUUAGUGAAAACUGGCACAUGCUGAAAUAUAACUCAAGUAGGCAUGUUUACGAGCUCGAUGCACUCACUACGGUGCAAGUCAUGGCAAGACAAGCAUACAUACAUCAAGAUGGCACAAAAUGCAAGCUAGACAUGGCAAGAACAAUAACAUAGCAUGCACGGAUCAACUACAACAACACCGGCAAAAUUGCAAACAAGUUGACAAUCUGCCCAGAUUCACAAAGUAGCAAAAGUAGAGCUCGAUUGACUCAAGCUAGGGUGCUCCAUAAUUUCAAACAAAGAUAUGGAUGGAUAGAACACUACAAUAUUAACAAAACAUCCUUACUGAUCAUCCUCAAAACAGGCACGGAUCACUAGGAAACAACAAGAACAUGUGGCAUCAUGAGAUAAACAGCUCCAGGACUUGGUGAAAUUACUAAGUCCCUGAAAACAGAAUUAGCAAGUGCACCACUUUGCAAGCUUGCACAAGUCACCACACACAUCACAAAAAUACAAGGGUUGCACCUAUGGAAAGAUGACAAAACCCUUAACAAAACACAUGUAGAGUAUCAGGGCAUAUCAUGCACACAAUAAUCAUGGCAAAAAUAACAGAAGUGCUAAACGGAGUAGCAGAUCUGACAAAUAACUCAAGUAGCCCUUUUCUAACAGCAUUUCGGGCAUCAAGAUGAACUCAAAUGAAAAUGAUGCAAUGGAAUGAAAUGAUGUACUCUCUGGGAUGAACAUUUCGAUAUGCUAUAUGCAUGAAUCAGAGCUACGGAUGCAAAGUUACGUGGCCACGAACAUGAGCAUAUGGACUGAAAAUAUCAGGGACUUGGUGAAAAAAAUGCAACCUCCCAGAUCUAGGGUUUUGGUGGCACGCGGCCCGAGGUUCGCCGGCGCAAGCUCGAGGUCGCCGGCGAGGUGGGUUCGUCGGCGGGGAGAAGAGGGGAGGCGAGGCCGGGGACGGGUGGUGGCGGCCCGGCGCCGGNNNNNNNNNNNNNNNNNNNNNNNNNNNNNNNNNNNNNNNNNNNNNNNNNNNNNNNNNNNNNNNNNNNNNNNNNNNNNNNNNNNNNNNNNNNNNNNNNNNNNNNNNNNNNNNNNNNNNNNNNNNNNNNNNNNNNNNNNNNNNNNNNNNNNNNNNNNNNNNNNNNNNNNNNNNNNNNNNNNNNNNNNNNNNNNNNNNNNNNNNNNNNNNNNNNNNNNNNNNNNNNNNNNNNNNNNNNNNNNNNNNNNNNNNNNNNNNNNNNNNNNNNNNNNNNNNNNNNNNNNNNNNNNNNNNNNNNNNNNNNNNNNNNNNNNNNNNNNNNNNNNNNNNNNNNNNNNNNNNNNNNNNNNNNNNNNNNNNNNNNNNNNNNNNNNNNNNNNNNNNNNNNNNNNNNNNNNNNNNNNNNNNNNNNNNNNNNNNNNNNNNNNNNNNNNNNNNGCGGGCGACUCCGGGCGGCGGGCGGCGGAGGACGUCGGGCGGAGGUCGUCGGAGCUCGGGAACUCCUCUCCCUGGAGCUUGGCGCGGAGGGGCGGAGGGGAACGGGCCCCGUGGGCCGGCGGCGGCGGGAGGCGACGAAGUGGGCACGGCGCCACGUGGCGCUCGACGAUUGGUCCGGGCGGAUCGGGCGGACACGUCCAGCCGUCCGGAUUUUGUCCGGCGGCUGGAGGAGGAGGGGGGACUAGGGUUUCGUCCGGAUUUUCGGGGAGGAGGCUAAAUAUAUAAGUAGAGGGAGCUAGGAGAGUCCAAAUGAGGUGCGGUUUUCGGCCACGCGAUCGUGAUCGAACGCUCUAGAUGAUGGAUCAGAUUUAGGUGGGUUUUGGGCCAAAUUGGGGGGGUGUUGGGCUGCAACACACACGAGGCCUUUUCGGUCCCUCGGUUAACCGUUGGAGUAUCAAACGAAGUCUAAAUGAAACGAAACUUGACAGGCGGUCUACUGGUAGUAAACCAAGGCCGCUUGGCAAGUCUUGGUCCAAUCCGAAAAUGUUUAAUCCCCACACACGAAAGAAAGCUAGAAAUGGCCACCGGAGGAGAACGAAGCGCCGGAAUGCAAAACGGACAACGGGGAAAAUGCUCGAAUGCAUGAGACGAACACGUAUGCAAAUGCAAUGCACAUGAUGACAUGAUAUGAGAUGCAUGACAACGACAACAACACACGGAGACAAAAUCCAAACCCGAGGAAAUAAAUAUAACUUAACGCUGGAAACGGAAAGAGUUGGAGUACAAAUUGGGAAAGUUACAUCCGGCGUGUUACAACACUCCACCACUACGAAAGGAUCUCGUCCCGAGAUCUAGGACUGAAAGAACGCCGGGUACUCAGAACGGAGGUGAUCCUCGCGUUCCCAGGUAGCUUCACGGUCGGAAUGGUGUGACAACUUGACUUUGAGAAAUUUGAUUGACUUGUUGCGAGUCUUGCGUUCAGUCUCUUCAAGAAUAGCAACUGGGUGCUCACGAUAAGAGAGAUCUUCUUGGAGCUCAAUGUCCUCGAAGUUGACUGUGCGGUCAGGAGUCUUGAAGCACUUUCGGAGCUGAGAGACAUGGAACACGUCGUGAACAUUUGCAAAGUUUGAAGGAAGCUCGAGUUGAUAGGCGAGGUCGCCUCUCUUGCUGACAAUCUUGAAAGGUCCCACGUAUCUGGGAGCAAGCUUCCCUUUGAUACCGAAGCGACGAGUACCUUUCAUAGGAGAGAUGCGGAGGUAAACAUGAUCUCCGAUCUCGAAAGCCAAAUCACGGUGCUUACUAUCAUAGUAGCUCUUCUGACGGGAUUGGGCUGCUUUGAGGUUAUCACGAAUGACUUUGCACAUUUCUUCUCCCUCUGUGAUUAAGUCAUUACCCAAAAGCUGACGUUCACCGGUUUCAGACCAGUUGAGAGGGGUACGGCACUUCCUGCCAUACAGAAUUUCAAAAGGGGCCUUGCUCGAACUUGCUUGAAAACUGUUGUUGUAGGAGAAUUCAGCAUAAGGAAGACAAUCCUCCCACUUCAUGCCGAAGGAGAUCACACAAGCCCUGAGCAUAUCUUCAAGAAUCUGGUUGACACGCUCGACUUGACCGCUAGUUUGAGGAUAGAAAGCUGUGCUGAAGCGGAUGUUGGUGCCCAUGGCCUUCUGAAAAGAAUCCCAAAACUUCGAGGUAAAGAUGCUGCCACGGUCUGAAGAGAUCACUUGAGGAAUACCGUGCAGAGAGACAAUGCGAGAGGUAUAGAGUUACGCCAAUUGAGCUGCAGUGAUCGACUCUUUGAUAGGCAAAAAAUGAGCCACUUUGGUGAGUUUGUCGAUGACAACGAAUAUAGCAUCAUUGCCACGCUUGGACUUAGGAAACCCAGUCACGAAGUCCAUUUCAAUGUGGUCAAACUUCCAUUCUGGAAUGGCAAGAGGUUGGAGGAGACCAGCUGGCCUUUGGUGUUCUACCUUCACUCUUCUGCAGACAUCACAUUCAUUCACGAAUUGAGCAAUCUCGCGCUUCAUUCGAGUCCACCAAUAAGCUUGCUUAAGGUCCUGAUACAUCUUCGUGCUCCCAGGAUGGAUGGAGAGGAGAGAAUUGUGAGCCACGUUCAUGAUCACUUUACGAAGUUCACCUUUGGGUACAACAAUACGAUCCUCGAAGAAGAGAGUGUCCUUGUCAUCAAGGCGGUAGCACUUGUAAUUGGGUUGACUCUUGGCAAUCCCAUUCUUCACCUUUUUCACCAUAGCAUCAAGAAGCUGGGCUUGGAGAAUCUGGUCUUCUAAGGUAGGAGAGACUUGAAGGUUGGCGAGGAAACCUUGAGGAACAACUUGCAGAUUAAGUUUGCGGAAAGCUUCACAAAGCUCGGGUUGAUAAGGCUUGAGAAUCAUACUUUUGCAGUAAGCUUUCCUGCUCAAAGCGUCAGCAAUCACAUUGGCCUUGCCUGGAGUAUACUCAAUACUCGGAUUAUACUCUUGAAUCAUUUCGACCCAUCGAGUUUGCCUGAGGUUGAGAUUAGGCUGAGUGAAGAUGUACUUGAGACUCUUGUGAUCAGUGAAAAUGUCCACUUUUCUUCCCAAUAGAAGAUGUCCCCAAGUCAAAAGAGCAUGCACAACUGCCGCCAACUCGAGAUCAUGAGUGGGGUAGUUCUUCUCAUUAGGCUUCAACUGGCGAGAGGUAUAAGCAACAACUUUCUUCUCUUGCAUCAAUAGCGCGCCAAGACCUUGGAGAGAGGCAUCACAAAAGACCUCGUACGGCUUGGAUUCAUCAGGCGGAGUCAGAACUGGAGCAGUGAUCAAUUUCUCUUUCAAAGUGCUGAAAGCAAUAUCACACUCCGGAGACCAAACGUACUUGACGUGCUUCUGAAGAAGAUUUGAGAGAGGCUUCGCGAUCUUAGAAAAGUUUUCAACGAAUCUUCGGCAAUAGCUUGCGAGACCGAGAAAACUGCGGAGUUGCUUCACGUUCUGAGGAGGUUCCCAAUUCACAAUUGCAGACACCUUCUCAGGAUUCACGGCAAUGCCCUUGGCAGAGAUGAUAUGACCAAGAUAAAGAACCUCAUCGAGCCAAAAUUCACACUUGGAGAACUUGGCGUAGAACUUGUGUUCCCUCAACUUAUCAAGAACCAAACGCAAGUGCUUGGCAUGAUCUUCCUUGUUCUUGGAGAAAACCAGAAUGUCAUCGAGAUAGACCAAAACGAAGUCAUUGGUGUAGGCAUUGAAGAUGAAGUUCAUCAUGCGAGAGAACGUCGGAGGAGUGUUGACGAGACCAAAAGACAUGACAGUGUAUUCAUAUGAACCAAAGCUUGUUCUGAAAGCCGUCUUGGGAAUAUCUUGCUCACGGAUACGAAUCUGAUGAUAACCCAUACGGAGAUCAAGCUUGGAGAAUACUUGGGCACCUUUGAGUUGUUCGAACAGCUCAUUGAUGUUGGGAAGUGGGUAUUUUGUUCUUUAUGGUCUUCUUGUUCACUGGACGGUAAUCAACACAAAGUCGGUCCGUUCCAUCCUUCUUCUUCACAAAAAGAACACCACAACCCCACGGAGAAGAACUAGGCCGGAUGAGACCCAUUUUCUCUUGAAUAUCGAGUUGCUUCUUCAGCUCCUUCAACUCUUCAGGUCCGAGAUUGUAAGGACGUUUGCACACAGGUUCCGUGCCAGGCUCAAGAUCAAUAACGAAUUCAACUGGCCGGUGCGGAGGCAUUCCUGGAAGCUCUUCUGGAAAGACGUCUUGAUAUUCGCAAACGACUGGAAUUUGCGAGAUAGCAUCCAGUUCACCCUUCUCAUUGAGAGAAAACAGACGGAUGGUAUUAUCCCGAGCGGCAAAGACAAUUACAUCCUCAGAUGAAUGAGUCAAUUGAAUCUGCCUGGCUGCACAAUCAAGCUGAGCCUUGUGCUUAGAAAGCCAAUCCAUUCCGAGAAUAAGAUCAAUAUCCGAGUCACCAAGAACCGUAGGAAAAUAUAGAAACUUGUAGUCUCCCAAGGUGAUAGUAACAUCCAGAGCAAUGGAGUUAGCAUGCAUGCGCUUACCGGGACAGACAACUGCUAAAGGACUAGGCAAAAUUUGCAAAGGCAAACCAUGCUUAGAUGAAAACGGUCUCGAGAUGAAACAAUGCGAUGCACCCGUGUCAAAAAGAACUUUUGCAGGAAUAUCAUUAACAGGAAGGUUACCCAUGAUCACAUCUGACGAGUCCUCUGCCUGAGUUGCAUUCAUCAAAUUGACCUUGGCGUGCUUGGGGUUAUGCUUGACCACAGCUGUACUUGCCGAUCUGACAGGAGGAGGAGGAGGAAGACGCCUCUGGUUGAAACACUUGUUGGCAUAGUGACCCUUCUGUUGGCACUUGUUGCACAUGACCUCUGAAAGCGGACGGUGAUACGGAGCACUCGAUCUUGGAGCUUGAGACGAAGUCUUGUUCUGAAAGCCAGGGUUGGGUGGGUGGGAAGAACCGCUGCCACCUUUGCUCUUCUGCUGAUACGGCUGACGGAACGGAGGAGGAGGAAGCCAAAACUUCUGCUGCUUGGCCACUUGAGUAGAGGAAGAAGGAGUAACAUCUCUGACUCGCUUCUUGGAAGCAUCACACCUCAACUGAGCAGCCUCUUGCUUCAGUGCCAUGUUGUAGAACUCAUCGUACCUCAAGGGCUUGAAGAGAACAAGAGCUAGCUGAAUUUCUUCUCUGAGACCACCCCUGAACUGGUAUAUCAUGCUCUUCUCAUCAGGGACGUCCUGCUUGGCAAAGCGGGGGAGCUUCUGGAACAACUUGUUGUAGUCAUAGACAGACAAAGAGCCUUGCUUCAGGUUGCGGAAUUCCUCACGCUUGCUUUCAACCACGCUCUGCAGAAUAUGAUGAGCUCAGAAAUCUCGACGGAAAUCAUCCCAAGUGAUAACACGUCCACCUCUGGAGUCCUUGUACUGCUGGAACCAUUCUGCAGCUUGAUCUUUGAGUUGGAAGGAAGCGAACUUAACAAAGUUCUCAGGCCUGACGUUACUGCACUCGAAAUGCUUGCACAGAUCCACUAGCCAAUCGUCAGCAUCGGUUGCCUCAACACAAUUGCUGAAAGUCUUUGGCCCGUUAGCAAGGAACUGGUUGAGUGUAGCAAAGUGAUUCUGAUUGCUGCCUUGAUUCCCUUGGUUGCCUUGAUUGCGCUCUUGAAGAAUUUGCAUGAUCAACUGUGUGUGUGCAUUGGUUGCGGCCAUCACAGCUUGCCAUGCCUCCGGAGGAGGUGGAGGUGGUAGCGGAUCAGGAUUCGGAGUCGUGCGCGUUGGAGGAGCCAUCUUGAAGAGGUUGACCACCAUUAGGACAUUGAUAGAUAAAUAUUGAAGCUGAAUCCAACGGAAUGAAAAUUGCAACAUAUAGUCUUCACAUCCGAACAAAAUGAACGAAUGCAUUCCUCUUGAAAUGGUCACAUAUCCAUAAAUUGAGAAGCCACGUAGAAUUAAAGGUAGAGAAAUAAAUCAACAAGGUACGGAUCAAGAACGAAUAAUCGGUAAGAAAUCUCAAUCUCAAACCAAUAUCCGUGGAAGAAGAACUAGAGCUACUAGAAUUCCCACCUAUGAAACUCCCGAACCUUUCCGGUUAUGCAAUCAGGUGUUGGGCAUACAGGGGAAGCAUAAUAUCUCACCCAAACUAGCAAAUCCUACAUCCAGCUGUAUCCAUCCUUCAACACAUAACGAAGAAACAUUCGGAAACCAUCUACCUCAACCUUCGAAAAGCAUCCGUUAUACAAGUUAUGGAGAUACUCCCGAACUCCCGCCCCAGUACUGGGUGGCGUCGAGGUUAUCUCACCAACGAACUGCAUAAAAGAGAUUUUCGAUGUCGGUGUACUAAACUCAGGUAUACCAGAACUGCAACGAUAAAAUUAUGAUGACAACACCUCAGAGCUCAACUCCCCGGGACACUUCCACUAAACCCCUGACAGGAGGCACCAAGACAAUGUUCUCAUCAUAAAACCAUCGGAACGAUUUCAAGAUACCCGCGUGAUCCUAAAUUUUUUUUAGAGAAAUUUGAGAAGAGAAGAGUCAGAACUCUACGUCAGGAUGCCUUACCAGAGCGAUGAGGAGACUGGGAAGUAAAAAGAAUUCCUAAACUCUCCGAUAUAUAAUUCCUAAAAGACUCAAAACAUUUUUCUAGACACAACUCGGCCGCUAAAAACGAUCAAGCAAUGGGGCUCCUAAGGUCGGGGAAGGCUCUGAUACCAACUUGUAACACCCUCGAUGCGACUAUAUCUCCCACGUGUCGAGGCACGACUUAGAGGCAUAAUCGCAUUGAAGGCAUAUGUCGCAAGUUAGGCAAUAUUCACAACAUCCCAUGUAAUAUAAAUCAUAAAGAGGAGAUAACAUAGUUGGCUUACACUCGCCACGUCAAUCAAGUACAUAAAUAACAUUACAUCAUCCAAACACUCAUGGCCCGACUACGGCGCCAAAAUAAAAGAUAACCCAACAAGCGACACGGUCCCAAUCACCCCCAUCUGGGCACCACUACUGAUCAUCGGGAAAGGAAACAUAGUAACGUUGAGAGUCUUCGUCGAACUCCCACUUGAGCUCGUACGCGUCUCCUGGAGCGGAAUCAUCAGCCCUGCAUCUGGUGUAAUAGUAAUCUGUGAGCCACAGGGACUCGGCAAUCUCGCACCCUCGCGAUCAAGACUAUAUUAGCUUAUAGGUAAGGCAGGGUAAAUAUGUGAGUGGAGCUGCAGCAAGCGACUAGCAAGUAUGGUGGCUAGCUUAUACGCAAAAGAGAGCGAGAAGAGGAGGCAAAGCGUGAGCGAGAAACUAGAGAACAACCUACGCAAACAUUACUCCAACACCGUGUCCACUUCCCGGACUCCGCCGAGAAGAGGCCAUUGUUGGGGAAUGUUGCAGAAAACAAAAAAUUUCCUACGGUUUCACCAAGAUCCAUCUAUGAGUUCAUCUAGCAACGAGUGAUCGGAUGCAUCUACAUACCUUUGUAGAUCACGCGCGGAAGCGUUCAAAGAACGGGGAUGAGGAAGUCGUACUCGACGUGAUCCAAAUCACCGGAGAUCCUAGCGCGGAACGGACGGCACCUCCGCGUUCAACACACGUACGGUCAGCGUAACAUCUCCUUCUUCUUGAUCCAGCAAGGGGGAAGGAGAGGUUGAGGAAGAUGGCUCCAGCAGCAGCACGACGGCGUGGUGGUGAUGGAGCUGCAGUACUCCGGCAGGGCUUCGCCAAGCUCUAUGGAGGAGGAGGAGGUGUUGGAGAGGGAGAGGGAGGCACCAAAAAACAAGGUAAGAGGUCCUCCACCCCCCCCCACUAUAUAUAGGGGGCCUAGGGGGGGCGCCGGCCCUAGGAGAUGCAAUCUCCUAGGGGGGCGGCGGCCAAGGGGUGNNNNNNNNNNNNNNNNNNNNNNNNNNNNNNNNNNNNNNNNNNNNNNNNNNNNNNNNNNNNNNNNNNNNNNNNNNNNNNNNNNNNNNNNNNNNNNNNNNNNNNNNNNNNNNNNNNNNNNNNNNNNNNNNNNNNNNNNNNNNNNNNNNNNNNNNNNNNNNNNNNNNNNNNNNNNNNNNNNNNNNNNNNNNNNNNNNNNNNNNNNNNNNNNNNNNNNNNNNNNNNNNNNNNNNNNNNNNNNNNNNNNNNNNNNNNNNNNNNNNNNNNNNNNNNNNNNNNNNNNNNNNNNNNNNNNNNNNNNNNNNNNNNNNNNNNNNNNNNNNNNNNNNNNNNNNNNNNNNNNNNNNNNNNUGGAUCCCUUCCCACUUCAGCCCAUGGGGCCCUUUGGGAUAGGUGGCCCCACCCGGUGGACCCCCGGGACCCUUCCGGUGGUCCCGGUACAAUACCGGUGACCCCGAAACUUGUCCCGAUGGCCGAAAUAGCACUUCCUAUAUAUAAUUCUUUACCUCCGGACCAUUCCGGAACUCCUCGUGACGUCCGAGAUCUCAUCUGGGACUCCAAACAACAUUCGGGUUACUGCAUAUACAUAUCCCUACAACCGUAGCGUCACCGAACCUUAAGUGUGUAGACCCUACGGGUUCGGGAGACAUGUAGACAUGACCGAGAUUGCUCUCCGGUCAAUAACCAACAGCGGGAUCUGGAUACCCAUGUUGGCUCCCACAUGCUCCUCGAUGAUCUCAUCGGAUGAACCACGAUGUCGAGGAUUCAAGCAACCCCGUAUACAAUUCCCUUUGUCAAUCGAUAUGCUACUUGCCCGAGAUUCGAUCGUCGGUAUCCCAAUACCUUGUUCAAUCUCGUUACCGGCAAGUCACUUUACUCGUACCGUAAUGCGUGAUCCCGUGACCAGACACUUGGUCACUUUGAGCUCAUAAUGAUGAUGCAUUACCGAGUGGGCCCAGUGAUACCUCUCCGUCAUACGGAGUGACAAAUCCCAGUCUUGAUCCGUGUCAACUCAACAGACACUUUCGGAGAUACCCGUAGUAUACCUUUAUAGUCACCCAGUUACGUUGUGACGUUUGGUACACCCAAAGCACUCCUACAGUAUCCGGGAGUUACACGAUCUCAUGGUCUAAGGAAAGGAUACUUGACAUUGGAAAAACUCUAGCAAACGAACUAUACGAUCUUAUGCUAUGUUUAGGAUUGGGUCUUGUCCAUCACAUCAUUCUCCUAAUGAUGUGAUCUCGUUAUCAAUGACAUCCAAUGUUCAUAGUCAGGAAACCAUGACUAUCUGUUGAUCAACGAGCUAGUCAACUAGAGGCUUACUAGGGACAUGUUGGUGUCUAUUAUUCACACAUGUAUUACGAUUUCCGGAUAACACAAUUAUAGCAUGAAUAAAGACAAUUAUCAUGAACAAGGAAAUAUAAUAAUAAUGCUUUUAUUAUUGCCUCUAGGGCAUAUUUCCAAUAGUCUCCCACUUGCACUAGAGUCAAUAAUCUAGUUACAUUGUGAUGAAUCGAACACCCAUGGAAUUCUGGUGUUGAUCAUGUUUUGCUCUAGGGAGAGGUUUAGUCAACGGAUCUGCUACAUUCAGAUCUGUAUGUACUUUACAAAUUUCUAUGUCUCCAUCUUGAACAUUUUCACGGAUGGAGUUGAAGCGACGCUUGAUGUGCCUAGUCUUCUUGUGAAACCUGGGCUCCUUGGCAAGUGCAAUAGCUCCAGUGUUGUCACAGAAGAGCUUGAUUGGCCCCGACGCAUUGGGUAUGACUCCUAGGUCGGUGAUGAACUCCUUCACCCAAAUUGCUUCAUGUGCUGCCUCCGAGGCUGCCAUGUACUCCGCUUCACAUGUAGAUCCCGCCACGACGCUCUGCUUGCAACUGCACCAGCUUACUGCCCCACCAUUCAAAAUAUACACGUAUCCGGUUUGUGACUUAGAGUCAUCCAGAUCUGUGUCAAAGCUAGCGUCGACGUAACCUUUUACGACGAGCUCUUCGUCACCUCCAAGAAACAUUUCCUUAGUCCUUUUCAGGUACUUCAGGAUAUUCUUGACCGCUGUCCAGUGUUCCUUGCCGGGAUUACUUUGGUACCUUCCUACCAAACUUACGGCAAGGUUUACAUCAGGUCUGGUACACAGCAUGGCAUACAUAAUAGAACCUAUGGCUGAGGCAUAGGGGAUGACACUCAUCUCUUCUAUAUCUUCUGCCUUGGUCGGACAUUGAGCUGAGCUCAAUUUCACACCUUGCAACACAGGCAAGAACCCCUUCUUAGAUUGAUCCAUAUUGAACUUCUUCAAUAUCUUAUCAAGGUAUGUGCUUUGUGAAAGACCUAUGAGGCGUCUUGAUCUAUCUCUAUAGAUCUUGAUGCCUAAUAUAUAAGCAGCUUCUCCAAGGUCCUUCAUUGAAAAACUCUUAUUCAAGUAGGCCUUAAUGCUGUCCAAAAGCUCUAUAUCAUUUCCCAUCAAAAGUAUGUCAUCUACAUAUAAUAUGAGAAAUGCUACAGAGCUCCCACUCACUUUCUUGUAAACGCAGGCUUCUCCAUAAGUUUGCAUAAACCCAAACGCUUUGAUCAUCUCAUCAAAGUGAAUGUUCCAACUCCGAGAUGCUUGCACUAGCCCAUAAAUCGAGCGUUGGAGCUUGCACACCUUGUCAGCAUUCUUAGGAUCGACAAAACCUUCCGGCUGCAUCAUAUACAAUUCUUCCUUAAGGAAACCAUUGAGGAAUGCCAUUUUGACGUCCAUUUGCCAUAUCUCAUAAUCAUAGUAUGCGGCAAUUGCUAACAUAAUUCAGACGGACUUCAGCUUCGCUACCGGUGAGAAAGUCUCAUCGUAGUCAACCCCUUGAACUUGUCGAUAACCCUUAGCGACAAGCCGAGCUUUAUGGAUGGUCACAUUACCAUCCGCGUCUGUCUUCUUCUUAAAGAUCCAUUUAUUUUCUAUGGCUCGCUGAUCAUCGGGCAAGUCAGUCAAAGUCCAUACUUCGUUUUCAUACAUGGAUCCUAUCUCAGAUUUCAUGGCUUCCAGCCAUUUGUCGGAAUCCGGGCCCGCCAUCGCUUCUUCAUAGUUCGAAGGUUCAGUGUUGUCCAACAACAUGAUUUCCAAGAUAGGGUUGCCGUACCACUCUGGUGCGGAACGUGUCCUUGUGGACCUACGAAGUUCAGCAGCAACUUGAUUUGAAGUUUCAUGAUCAUCAUCAUUAACUUCCUCUCUAGUCGGUGCAGGCACCUUAGGAACAUUUCCUUGAGUUGCGCCAUUUUCCGGUUCAAGAGGUAAUACUUCAUCAAGUUCUACUUUCCUCCCACUUACUUCUUUCGAGAGAAACUCCUUCUCUAGAAAGGAUCCAUUCUUGGCAACAAAGAUCUUGCCUUCGGAUCUGAGGUAGAAGGUAUACCCAAUAGUUUCUUUAGGGUAUCCUAUGAAGACGCAUUUUAUACCCAAUAGUUUCUUUAGGGUAUCCUAUGAAGACACAUUUUUCCGACUUGGGUUCGAGCUUUUCAGGUUGAAGUUUCUUGACAUAAGCAUCGCAUCCCCAAACUUUUAGAAACAACAGCUUAGGCUUCUUCCCAAACCAUAAUUCAUACGGUGUCGUCUCAACGGAUUUCGACGGAGCCCUAUUUAAAGUGAAUGCGGCAGUCUCUAAAGCAUAGCCCCAAAAUGACAGCGGUAAAUCGGUAAGAGACAUCAUAGAUCGCACCAUAUCUAAUAGAGUGCGAUUACGGUGUUCGGACACACCAUUACGCUGAGGUGUUCCAGGCGGCGUGAGUUGUGAAACUAUUCCACAUUUUCUUAAGUGUGUACCAAAUUCGUGACUCAAGUAUUCUCCUCCACGAUCUGAUCGCAAAAACUUGAUUUUUUUGUCACGUUGAUUCUCAACCUCACUCUGAAAUUCCUUGAACUUUUCAAAGGUUUCAGACUUGUGUUUCAUUAAGUAGAUAUACCCAUAUCUACUCAAGUCAUCAGUGAGGGUGAGAACAUAACGAUAGCCACCACGAGCCUCAACGCUCAUUGGACUGCACACAUCAGUAUGUAUGAUUUCCAAUAGGUUGGUUGCUCGCUCCAUUGUUCCUGAGAACGGAGUCUUGGUCAUCUUACCCAUGAGGCAUGGUUCGCACGUGUCAAAUGAUUCGUAAUCAAGAGACUCUAAAAGUCCAUCUGUAUGGAGCUUCUUCAUGUGUUUGACACCUAUGUAACCAAGGCGGCAGUGCCACAAGUAUGUGGGACUAUCAUUAUCAACCUUACAUCUUUUGGUAUUCACACUAUGAACAUGUGUAGCAUUACGCUCGAGAUUCAUUAAGAAUAAACCAUUCACCAUCGGAGCAUGACCAUAAAACAUAUCUCUCAUAUAAAUAGAACAACCAUUAUUCCCGGAUUUAAAUGAGUAGCCAUCUCGAAUUAAACGAGAUCCCGAUACAAUGUUCAUGCUCAAAGCUGGCACUAAAUAACAAUUAUUAAGGUUUAAAACUAAUCCCGAAGGUAAAUGUAGAGGUAGCAUGCCGACGGCGAUCACAUUGACCUUGGAACCAUUCCUGACGCGCAUCGUCACCUCGUCCUUUGCCAGUCUCCGCUUAUUCCGCAGCUCCUGCUUUGAGUUACAAAUGUGAGCAACUGCACCGGUAUCAAAUACCCAGGAGAUACUACGAGUACUGGUAAGGUACACAACAAUUACAUGUAUAUCACAUAUACCUUUUGUUUUGCCGGCCUUCUUGUCCGCUAAGUAUUUGGGGCAGUUCCGCUUCCAGUGACCACUUCCCUUGCAAUAAAAGCACUCAGUCUCGGGCUUGGGUCCAUUCUUUGGCUUCUUCCCGGCAGCUUGCUUGCCGGGCGCGGCAACUCCCUUGCCGUCCUUCUUGAAGUUCUUUUUACCCUUGCCCUUCUUGAACUUAGUGGUUUUAUUCACCAUCAACACUUGAUGUUCCUUCUUGACUUCUACCUCUGCUGAUUUCAGCAUUGAAAAUAACUCAGGAAUGGUCUUUUCCAUCCCCUGCAUAUUGAAGUUCAUCACAAAGCCCUUGUAGCUUGGUGGAAGCGACUGGAGGAUUCUGUCAAUGACCGCAUCAUCCGGGAGAUUAACUCCCAGAUGAGUCAAGCGGUUAUGUAACCCAGACAUAGUGAGUAUGUGCUCACUGACAGAACUAUUUUCCUCCAUCUUACAGCUGGAGAAUUUGUCAGAGACUUCAUAUCUCUCGACCCGGGCAUGAGCUUGAAAACCCAUUUUUAGCUCUUCGAACAUCUCAUAUGCUCCAUGUCUCUCAAAACGCUUUUGGAGCCCCGGCUCUAAGCUGUAAAGCAUGCCGCGCUGAACGAGGGAGUAGUCAUCAACACGUGUCUGCCAAGCGUUCAUAACGUCUUGGUUCUGUGGGACGGGUGCGUCACCUAGCGGUGCUUGUAGGACAUAUUCUUUCUUGGCAGCUAUGAGGAUGAUCCUCAGGUUCCGGACCCAGUCCGUAUAGUUGCUGCCAUCGUCUUUCAGCUUGGUUUUCUCUAGGAACGCGUUGAAGUUGAGGACUACGUUGGCCAUUUGAUCUACAAGACAUAUUGUAAAUACUUUAGACUAAGUUCAUGAUAAUUAAGUUCAUCUAAUCAAAUUAUUCAAUGAACUCCCACUCAGAUAGACAUCCCUCGAGUCAUCUAAGUAUAACAUGAUCCGAGUUAACUAGGCCGUGACCGAUCAUCACGUGAGACGGACUAGUCAACAUCGGUGAACAUCUUCAUGUUGAUCGUAUCUUCUAUACGACUCAUGCUCGACCUUUCGGUCUUCUCUGUUCCGAGGCCAUGUCUGUACAUGCUAGGCUCGUCAAGUCAACCUAAGUGUUUGCAUGUGUAAAUCUGUCUUACACCCGUUGUAUGUGAACGUUGGAAUCUAACACCGAUAAUCACGUGGUGCUUCGAAACAACGAACUGUCGCAACGGUGCACAGUUAGGGGGAACACUUUCUUGAAAUUAUUAUGAGGGAUCAUCUUAUUUACUACCGUCGUUCUAAGUAAACAAGAUGCAAAAACAUGAUAAACAUCACAUGCAAUCAAAUAAUAAUAGUGACAUGAUAUGGCCAAUAUCACAUAGCUCCUCUGAUCUCCAUCUUGGGGCUCCAUGAUCAUCCUGUCACCGGCAUGACACCAUGAUCUCCAUCAUCGUGUCUCCAUGAAGUUGCUCGCCAACUAUUACUUCUACUACUAUUGCUAACACGUUUAACAAUAAAGUAAAGUAAUUUACAUGGCGUUUCUCAAUGACACGCAGGUCAUACAAAAAUAAAGACAACUCCUAUGGCUCCUGCCGGUUGUCAUACUCAUCGACAUGCAAGUCGUGAUUCCUAUUACAAGAACAUGAUCUCAUACAUCACAUAUAUAUCAUUCAUCAUUCAUCACAACUUUGGCCAUAUCAUAUCACAAAGCACUUGCUGCAAAAACAAGUUAGACGUCCUCUAAUUGUUGUUGCAAGUUUUACGUGGCUGCAAGAGGGUUCUAGCAAGAACGUUUGCUUACCUACGUGAAAGCCACAACGUGAUUUGUCAACUUCUAUUUACCCUUCAUAAGGACCCUUUUCAUCGAAUCCGCUCCAACUAAAGUGGGAGAGACAGACACCCGCCAGCCACCUUAUGCAACUAGUGCAUGUCAGUCGGUGGAACCGGUCUCACGUAAGCGUACGUGUAAGGUUGGUCCGGGCCGCUUCAUCCCACAAUACCGUUGAAGCAAGAUAAGACUAGUAGCAGCAAGAAAGUUAACAACAUCUACGCCCACAACAAAUUGUGUUCUACUCGCGCAAGAAGAACUACGCAUAGACCUAGCUCUGAUACCACUGUUGGGGAACGUUGCAGAAAACAAAAAUUUUCCUACGGCUUCACCAAGAUCCAUCUAUGAGUUCAUCUAGCAACGAGUGAUCGGAUGCAUCUACAUACCUUUGUAGAUCACGCGCGGAAGCAUUCAAAGAACGGGGAUGAGGAAGUCGUACUCGACGUGAUCCAAAUCACCGGAGAUCCUAGCGCCGAACGGACGGCACCUCCGCGUUCAACACACGUACGGUUAGCGUAACGUCUCCUUCUUCUUGAUCCAGCAAGGGGGAAGGAGAGGUUGAGGAAGAUGGCUCCAGCAGCAGCACGACGGUGUGGUGGUGAUGGAGCUGCGGUACUCCGGCAGGGCUUCGCCAAGCUCUAUGGAGGAGGAGGAGGUGUUGGAGAGGGAGAGGGAGGCACCAAAAAACAAGGUAAGGGGUCCUCCAUCCCCCCACUAUAUAUAGGGGGCCUAGGGGGGCGCCGGCCCUAGGAGAUGCAAUCUCCUAGGAGGGCGGCGGCCAAGGGGUGGGGGGCUUGCCCCCCAAGCAAGGGGGCGCCCCCCCCUUUAGGGCUUCCCCACCCUAGGCGCAUGGGCCCUAGGGUAAGUGGCGCCCCAGCCCACUUUGGGCUGGAUCCCUUCCCACUUCAGCCCAUGGGGCCCUCCGAGAUAGGUGGCCCCACCCGGUGGACCCCCGGGACCCUUCCGGUGGUCCCGGUACAAUACCGGUGACCCCGAAACUUGUCCCGAUGGCCGAAAUAGCACUUCCUAUAUAUAAUUCUUUACCUCCGGACCAUUCCGGAACUCCUCGUGACGUCCGGUAUCUCAUCCGGGACUCCGAACAACAUUCGGUUUACUGCAUAUACAUAUCCCUAUAACUCUAGCGUCACUGAACCUUAAGUGUGUAGACCCUACGGGUUCGGGAGACAUGUAGACAUGACCGAGAUUGCUCUCCGGUCAAUAACCAACAGCGGGAUCUGGAUACCCAUGUUGGCUCCCACAUGCUCCUCGAUGAUCUCAUCGGAUGAACCACGAUGUCGAGGAUUCAAGCAACCCCGUAUACAAUUCCCUUUGUCAAUCGGUAUGCUACUUGCCCGAGAUUCGAUCGUUGGUAUCCCAAUACCUUGUUCAAUCUCGUUACCGGCAAGUCACAUUACUCGUACCAUAAUGCAUGAUCCCGUGACCAGACACUUGGUCACUUUGAGCUCAUAAUGAUGAUGCAUUACCGAGUGGGCCCAGUGAUACCUCUCUGUCAUACGGAGUGACAAAUCCUAGUCUUGAUCCGUGUCAACUCAACAGACACUUUCGGAGAUACCCGUAGUAUACCUUUAUAGUCACCCAGUUACGUUGUGACGUUUGGUACACCCAAAGCACUCCUACGGUAUCCGGGAGUUACACGAUCUCAUGGUCUAAGGAAAGGAUACUUGACAUUGGGAAACUCUAGCAAACGAACUAUACGAUCUUAUGCUAUGUUUAGGAUUGGGUCUUGUCCAUCACAUCAUUCUCCUAAUGAUGUGAUCUCGUUAUCAAUGACAUCCAAUGUCCAUAGUCAGGAAACCAUGACUAUCUGUUGAUCAACGAGCUAGUCAACUAGAGGCUUACUAGGGACAUGUUGGUGUCUAUUAUUCACACAUGUAUUACGAUUUCCGGAUAACACAAUUAUAGCAUGAAUAAAGACAAUUAUCAUGAACAAGGAAAUAUAAUAAUAAUGCUUUUAUUAUUGCCUCUAGGGCAUAUUUCCAACAGCCAUCACGGUAAUACACUCAGUUGAUUCAUUUUAAUUAAUUAAGGUUCAAGUUGUCUACAACCGGACAUUAACAAAUUCCCAUCUGCCCAUAACCGCGGGCACGGCUUUCGAAAGUUCAAAUCCCUGCAGGGGAGUCCCAACUUAGCCCAUGACAAGCUCUCAUGGUCAACGAAGGAAUAGACCUCCUCCCAAGACGUUCCGAUCAGACUCGGUAUCUCGGUAAUUCAAGACACUUCGACAGGUUAAAACAAGACCAGCAACACCGCCCGAAUGUGCCGACAAAUCCCGAUAGGAGCUGCACAUAUCUCUUUCUCAGGGCAGACUCAGAUUGUCUUAGGUACGGGUAGGCCAGCCCAGAGUUGCCCCUGGUGGCCACCGGCGGCUGACAGGUGGACCAACACUCAGAGGAGCACUGGCCCGGGGUGGUUAAAAUAAUGAUGACCCUUGAGUCUGCAGAACCCAAGGGAAAGAAAAGGCUAGGUGGCAAAUGGUAAAACCAAGGUUGGGCAUUGCUGGAAAAGCUUUAAUCAAGGCAAAAUAUCAAGGGGUUCCCAUUAUAACCCAACCGCGUAAGGAACGCAAAAUCCGGGAACAUAACACCGAUUUGACGGAAACUAGGGCGGCAAGAGUGGAACAAAACACUAGGCGAGAGGCCGAGCCUUCCACCCUUUACCAAGUAUAUAGAUGCAUUAAGAUAACAUAGCAAUAUAAUGAUAUCCCAACAAGUAAAUAAAUGUUCCAACAAGGAACGGCUUUCAAUCUUCACCUGCAACUAGCAACGCUAUAAGAGGGGCUGAGCAAAGCGGUAACAUAGACAAUCAACGGUUUGCUAGGACAAGGUGGGUUAGAGGUUUGACAUGGCAAUUUGGGAGGCUUGAAAGCAAGUGGUAGGCAUCGUAGAAAUGGCAUAGCAAAAGAGCGAGCAAGCUAGCAUAGCAAAGAUAGUAGUGAUUUCGAGGGUAUGAUCAUCUUGCCUGCACAGUUGUCAGAGUUGACUGGAUCCUCGAAAGCAAACUCAACGGGCUCCUCGUUAGCGAACUCGUCUCCCGGCUCUACCCAAAUAAGACAAGCAAGCAACAAGGAUACAAUCAACCACGUGCAAACUCAAACAAGACGGUGCGAAGAUGAUUUGCUAUGCGGGAUGCGAUGCGGGAUAGAAAAUGCAAGAUGUGACAGGAAAUGCAUGAACCUGGCCUCAACUUGGAAAACCAAGUGUGUCACUAGAAAGAUGAAAUGAAAUCGCUUGAAAACGAUAUAAAGAAUGCCGGAAUCGGAGUUACGGUUUGGAAAUGGCAAGCGAUUCAAAAAUGACACCGGUCUGCGAUUUACAGCAAGUAGGCAUCUAAAUGCAACGAAAUGAACAUGCUAUAGUACCCAAACAUGACAACAAAAUACAUGGCAGGGAUGCACACAAAAUGCUUAACAAAAGUCUAGCACUGAUCUACAGCCAAUUCAUCCAUUAACAGGUUCAAACAAGCAUGGCAAAAAUGCAUAUGGCAAACAUAUCUCAGACUUAGUGAAAUUAACACUUGUCUGGAAUUUCAGAUCAGGUAGCCCUCUUCGGAGCAACAAAACUAUAUGCUACAGGACCUGAACAUGGAAAAGUAAAGCCUGGCAUGGAGCUACUCAAAGAUCUUAACAAAAGUCCCUUAGUGACCUUGAGCCAAAAGGGAUCAAAAAAUACAAUUGCAAGCAUGUGAACAUAGCAAAAACAUAAUCAGUUUUCAGACUUAGUGAAAACUGGCACAUGCUGAAAUAUAACUCAAGUAGGCAUGUUUACGAGCUCGAUGCACUCACUACGGUGCAAGUCAUGGCAAGACAAGCAUACAUACAUCAAGAUGGCACAAAAUGCAAGCUAGACAUGGCAAGAACAAUAACAUAGCAUGCACGGAUCAACUACAACAACACCGGCAAAAUUGCAAACAAGUUGACAAUCUGCCCAGAUUCACAAAGUAGCAAAAGUAGAGCUCGAUUGACUCAAGCUAGGGUGCUCCAUAAUUGCAAACAAAGAUAUGGAUGGAUAGAACACUACAAUAUUAACAAAACAUCCUUACUGAUCAUCCUUAAAAGAGGCACGGAUCACUAGGAAACAACAAGAACAUAUGGCAUCAUGAGAUAAACAGCUCCAGGACUUGGUGAAAUUACUAAGUCCCUGAAAACAGAAUUAGCAAGUGCACCACUUUGCAAGCUUGCACAAGUCACCACAUACAUCACAAAAAUACAAGGGUUGCACCUCUGGAAAGAUGACAAAACCCUUAACAAAACACAUGUAGAGCAUCAGGGCAUAUCAUGCACACAAUAAUCAUGGCAAAAAUGACAAAAGUGCUAAACGGAGUAGCAGAUCUGACAAAUAACUCAAGUAGCCCUCUUCUAACAGCAUUUCGGGCAUCAAGAUGAACUCAAAUGAAAAUGAUGCAAUGGAAUGAAAUGAUGUACUCUCUGAUAUGAACAUUUUGAUGUGUUAUAUGCAUGAAUCGGAGCUACAGAUGCAAAGUUACGGGGCCACGAACGUGAGCAUAUGGACUGAAAAUAUCAGGGACUUAGUGAAAAACAUGCAACCUCACAGAUCUAGGGUUUUGGUGGCACGCGGCCCGAGGUUCACCGGCGCGAGCUCGAGGUCGCCGGCGAGGUGGGUUCGUCGGCGGGGAGAAGAGGNNNNNNNNNNNNNNNNNNNNNNNNNNNNNNNNNNNNNNNNNNNNNNNNNNNNNNNNNNNNNNNNNNNNNNNNNNNNNNNNNNNNNNNNNNNNNNNNNNNNNNNNNNNNNNNNNNNNNNNNNNNNNNNNNNNNNNNNNNNNNNNNNNNNNNNNNNNNNNNNNNNNNNNNNNNNNNNNNNNNNNNNNNNNNNNNNNNNNNNNNNNNNNNNNNNNNNNNNNNNNNNNNNNNNNNNNNNNNNNNNNNNNNNNNNNNNNNNNNNNNNNNNNNNNNNNNNNNNNNNNNNNNNNNNNNNNNNNNNNNNNNNNNNNNNNNNNNNNNNNNNNNNNNNNNNNNNNNNNNNNNNNNNNNNNNNNNNNNNNNNNNNNNNNNNNNNNNNNNNNNNNNNNNNNNNNNNNNNNNNNNNNNNNNNNNNNNNNNNNNNNNNNNNNNNNNNNNNNNNNNNNNNNNNNNNNNNNNNNNNNNNNNNNNNNNNNNNNNNNNNNNNNNNNNNNNNNNNNNNNNNNNNNNNNNNNNNNNNNNNNNNNNNNNNNNNNNNNNNNNNNNNNNNNNNNNNNGGUCGCCGGAGCUCGGCAGCUCCUCUCCCUGGAGCUUGGCGCGGAGGGGCGGAGGGGAACGGGCCCCGCGGGCCAGACGCGGGCCCCGCGGGCCGGCGGCGGUGGGAGGCGACGAAGUGGGCACGGCGCCACAUGGCGCUUGGCGAUUGGUCCGGGCGGAAAUGUCCGGCCGUCCGGAUUUUGUCCGGCGGCUGGAGGAGGAGGGGGGACUAGGGUUUCGUCCGGAUUUUCGGGGAGGCGGCUAAAUAUAUAGGUAGAGGGAGCUAGGAGAGUCCAAAUGAGGUGCGGUUUUUUGUCACGCGAUCAUGAUCGAACGCUCUAGAUGAUGGAGCAAAGUUAGGUGGGUUUUGGGCCAAAUUGGGGGGGUGUUGGGAUGCAACACACACGAGGCCUUUUCAGUCCCUCGGUUAACCAUUGGAGUAUCAAACGAAGUCUAAAUGACACGAAACUUGACAGGCGGUCUACCGGUAGUAAACCAAGGCCGCUUGGCAAGUCUCGGUCCAAUCCGGAAAUGUUUAAUCUCCACACACGAAAGAAAGCUAGAAAUGGCCACCGGAGGAGAACGAAGCGCCGGAAUGCAAAACGGACAAUGGGGAAAAUACUCGAAUGCAUGAGACGAACACGUAUGCAAAUGCAAUGCACAUGAUGACAUGAUAUGAGAUGCAUGACAACGACAACAACACACAGAGACAAAACCCGAACCCGAGGAAAUAAAUAUAACUUAACGCCGGAAACGGCAAGAGUUGGAGUACAAAUUGGGAAAGUUACAUCCGGGGUGUUACACCAUGCCUAAAUAGCAAUCACGGAGUCUCGACUGCCUUUACCAUAUGACGUUUAAUCUCUUCAUUUCAUUUGGCAUCAAUGUAAUUAAUGAGUUAAUGAUGCUCGCAUCUUGUAUAUUUUGGUGCAUUUUGUAACUAAUAUGUGGAAGUAGAUUGUCACCUUAAGAACUAUCGCAAACAAUAAUAAAAACACUUUGUGCCCCAAAUUUUGAGAGUGCAUUUUUUAGUGAGAUUAUACAAAUGUAUGUAUAAAGAUUACAAAAAUACAUGUUAAUGAAUCAUUGCAAAUUGUAGCGAUCCAACUUCGGACGGUCAAGUCUCUGUGCUUAGGUGUCAUCCCUGGAUCGGUAUUGCUGACACACACAGUACUUGAGGAUUUAUAACAGAGUUCAAUUACACACUUAUUAUAUCGAGUGUCUCAAAAAGAGUACAUAUUACAAUAAAAUGGCCGAGGGCCAUCUAAAAUUAAGAUAACUGCGGAAGCAUAGAAGAUAAAUGAGUCCAUCCAACUCCACGGCAAUACUAAGUGCAUGACAAUGACCUAGCGCACCUUACUCUUCGUCUGAAAAUUCUGCAACAUAAUAUGUUGCAGCCGUGUAGGUCAGCACAUGGAAUAUGCUGACAAGAUAACACUAUAGAACAAUGAACAAAAAAUAGCUAUCACUACAUGCAUAUAUGGCUGGUGGAAGCUCUGUGGUUAUUAUUUGCAUAGUUUUUCCCUACAACAAAGGAAUAUAUUUUAUUUAUCUACAAAGUUUGUUGAAAUAAUUGAGAAGGUAACCCCAACUCAAUCCCAAAAUUAAAAUUAAUAACCCGACAAAUUAAUUAAGUAAAGUGAUGAGAUCAACAUAAUAAUUCAAGUACUAGAUACUCAAGAUGUCCAUAACCGGGGACACGGCUAACCAUGAUUAGAUUGUACACUCUGCAGAGGUUUGCGCACUUUUCCCCACAAGACUCGAUCUUCUCCGUUGUAUUUCUCGCACUGCAUGAUGUUUGAGAAAUAGAUGACCGAGACACAGUCUUUUCGAAGAGGUCACCUUAACCAAUAGAUAGGCUGGUACACCUACAAUCACCUACAUCUGCUAGCCCAUCAUGAAAAGGAUUCCCACAACUUACUCAACUAUGCCAGAGCCCAUAAUGGCUUGUGGCUGCACACGGAAGUUUCUAGCAUGAAUAACAUCAUGAUCCCUUUGAGCCUGGGUGGCGAACCAUAGGAUGAUCACACGGGUUCCCCGGGAUCUCUUAGGACAACACUGGUAUAUCCCCAGGUGUCCACAACCAAUCCACCCAGAUGUGUGUUAAAGUAGCCACCUUAAAUUUUCCUUAGUUAAUAAUAACUCCCAAAGUGGUCGGACCCUUCCCUGGACCCUGCGCAAGCGGGAGCUACAUGCACCAGGUUGCCCUUUUUUAAUAAUAACUCCCAUAUCUUUCAUGAAUCUCUCAAACCAAUUCACGUCUACGAGCAUAGCAAAGUAGUGCAAUCAUAACGUGGUAACACCCAUGGUUUGAAUAUAAGACAAUAGGUUCCUACCUCAUCAACUACUUUCCAAUACCCACAUGUUAUCAAUCCUACUCAUGCAAUGUUUGAGGGUUGAGACUAAUGCAUAAAAACUAGGUAAUAAAGGGAUAUGAUCAAAGUGUUACUUGCCUUGCUGACGAUCGGAAAACCCUAAAGAUUCGUAGUAGCAAGCCUCGCACUCCAGAAACUCUAUGGUGAACAAACAAUAGCAUACAUAAGCACUCAAUCAUAAGAUGCAAAGGUAAAACCCAAAAUAAAAGAUCCAAACUGAAAGUUCAAGUGAAGAGCUUCGAUUUGCAAAAAGAAUCAAUCGAAUCAGAGUUAUGAAACUCAAACUAUGAUCAAAAGAAGUUCAUAUUCAAAUUUGCUUGAAAACAAAUUUUUAAUUUCCAAAAUCAUGUUCAAGUGGAUUAUCUAGAUAGAGGGGAACAAGACGAAGAUUUUGGCGUUAGUUUCACUGGAUUUGGAUAAACGAGCGAAAAGUAGUGAGGGUUUGAAGAUCAGGGACUAAUCUGUAAUAGAAGUAAUUAUGGAUAGGUCCCUGGCCGAAAAAUAAAACUAAAAAGAAAAACGUAACGGAUGAACGUCUGCUAACAAAGACUAACGAACGAAUUCGUUCGCUAAUAAAACGAAUCGGGUGAACGUUCGCUAUUUAAUGUAACCGAAUAAAAAAUAAACCGAUCUAAAAUAAAAACCGAGAAAAACCAAAGAACCGGAUCGGUUUUUACCGGUUCAGCGGUUUUCGGCGAAAACCGGCGACAGAUCGGGAACGGCGGCGGUGGCGGCAAACUACGGCGAGCAGGGCGGCGAGCGUCGGUGCGGCACGGCUCCGGCGUCGGCGGGAGGCGGCAAGGGCGUCAUGCGGCCGCGGGGCGCAGUGCGGGCGGCGUGCGGCAGCAAUGGCGGCGGCGGCGCUAAGCGGCAGGAUGCGGGGCUGCGACAGCGGCUUGGUGAGGAGGAUGGGGUGGCGGGCGGCGGUAUUUAAGAGGGAGGGAGGAGGCCGACUUGGGGCAAGGGGCAAGGCGGGGCGCGUGGCGGCGCCGGACUCCGACGGUUUUUUUUAAUAAAUUCCGCCGAAAGAAAAAAAUUCCAAAAAAAUCCUAAAAUCCCAAAAAUAAUUUUCACGGUCCUCUCCUAAUAUUUAGGACAACAUGAACAUUUUUCAGGGUUAAAAUGCAAAUUUUCCUAAUUUAAUCGAAUAAAAUCUCAAAUAAAAUCAAAUAAAUUAUAUAUUUUUAUUCAAAAUUAAAUUUCAAUUAUUUCCUCUGUUUUAAAGAAGUCAUAUUAUCUUCUCUCAUUAUUUUAUUUAUUUUGAAAUAAUUGGGAAAAUAAUUUCAAAUAAAAAUCAACUUGAUCCAAUUUACUAAUUUUAAAAAUUCAAAAAUGGAAUUUUAUGAAAACCUCCAACUCUCUCAAAUGGUCCUUGAGUUGCUUAAGGCCUCUAGGAUCAAAAUGUCCAAAUAAAACCAAUUCAAAAUGCAAGAAUUAUGGAUGCAUAUGAUGACCUAAUGAUUAACAUCCAAAUUGACAAUUGGGAUGUCACACAAAUAUAUGUAAAUGAAAUAUAUAUUUAAGAAAUUUUAGAGAUAGUUAUUACUGAAAAGUAUGUUAAUGAAAUAAUCAUUAUUCCAAAAAAAUGAUUUCAUAUAUGUUCAUCAUUUCAAAUAGUACUAUGAGGAAACUUUUAUUACUUUAAAAAUGUGAUUUUCAAUUGUAUGAUUAUUUGAAGAAAAAAUUGAUUCCAACUAUUCCAUUACUUUGAAAAAGUGUUCAACUUUGUCAUAUGUUUAUUUUUUUUCAAAGAACGGUCUAAAAUGUUUGUGUUAUUUAAAAUAAGUGCUCUCAACUUUAAACUAUUAUCAUAUUAUUAUUUAAAAGAUUGAUCUUUGGAAGCUUUUCAUUAUUUCAAAAAGGGGAUUUCAACUAGUUCAUUAUUUCAAAAAAAAAUUAAACCUUUUCACUAUUUUUGAAAAAAACUACCACAUUUUUGGGAAUUUAUUUGACAUAUGUUUCAAUUACAAUACUCAAUUUCAGAAAACAUUUACAUGUAGUUUU